UAUUAAAAAUUUCAUCUAUUUUUGUUGUUAAAAACUAACUAGGUUAACAAAAUAACUGGACAAUUGCAUGUGGUGUGCUACAUAUACUUCUUGUUGAUUACAAGGACAAAUUUUUUAACAAUAAAAAUAUAUAAAAUUUUUAACA
rnacentral:pre_miRNA from 1 species